rnacentral:lncRNA from 1 species
UGAAGAAUAUGUUGCUGAAGUUGUGGUUGUUGACCUGGAAUCAAAAUCGUUUCAAUUUAUCUCGUUAUUUAAAUAACAAUUUGGACAAGUCGAUAUUCCAUAUCGAUAAAAUUAAGUUAACCUCUUCGAUACAAAUAUCAACUUUAAUCGAUAGUUACCAAAUGAAUAUAAGUAUAUAUAACAUUAUGAUAGUUAUAUUAAUAAUAUAAUUUUUUAUUUUUUGACUAAUCUUUCUAAGUUAUUUCUUUUAUUUAUUAGAAAGAAAUUUUAUAUAUUAUAAUAUGUUUAUUAUAAAAAAAUGUUUAAUAUGAAAGUGUUACACUUGCUCGGUCGUUAAAUAAUACAUAUUCUGCAACAAGUGUCAUAAAAGAGUUUAUGACGAUACAUUUUGAAUGUGAAACAUACCUGUUUGAUAUUGUUCUGGCAUCUUUUGAGGAAAGCUGUUUAAAAGAUCGUAAAGUUGAGUUGCUGAAAGCGGAGGGCCUGCAGGAGCUGGAUGACCAACAUGUAGAUCAGGUAUUUGUUGAUUUAUAAUAUAUGGAGUCUGUCCAGCGGUACCAGGGAAACCAACAUGCAGUGAACUAUGAAGAUUAGUUUGCAUUGGUAAAUUGGGCUGCCCGAGUUGAAUGUUUGUUCCGAUGAGACCUAUAUUCGACGCUGGAUGAUUAUUUAAAUAAACGUCAUUUGUUUGUAAGUCAGGAUUCACCAAUGUUGAAAGAGUUGCAAAGUCUGGAGGCAAGAAUGUCGGUAAAACGGUUUGAUAUUCUUUUUGACUGAUAUCAUUGCUUUCAGUUACUUCGUAAUUAUGUUGCACUGGAGUGGGACUCGUUACAGUUUUCUGCGGUGUUAAACUUGUGCUAAUAGUAGCAAGAUCAAAAUUUGAAUCUAACCAUGUGGAUUGAUUUUAUAAGUAGCAUCAGUUGUUUGUUGACGUGAAUUUUCUUCUAUAUUCACUUCAUUAUUGAAAGGUUUAUCCAUGGGACUCAGAUUAGGCGCAGGAAUCGUAUGAAUUGGUCCCUUGUCAUCAUCGACACCACCUCUAUGAGUCGGUGGCAAAACAGCAGCUUCCGGUCUAUAUUCAGGACUAUAUUCCGGCAUUUUAUUUACGGUAUGAAAUUCUUUAACUGGUGGACGUUGUGGUAAAACCGCAUGAUUAUUUAAAGAAGUUCUUAUUGGAAUCUGAUUUUUCCAAAUGGUAGAUGGCACAUUGAACAUCGGAGGUCGACGAAUUCUGGAAUAAGGGAUAGAUCGAGAAAAUGUCACGUUCGAUGAAAAAUAUAUUUUUUCUAUAUAUUCUCAAAGAUUCACCUAUAAUUCGAGGGUUUGUGAGCUAUUCGUUUCAAUGGGAAAUUUCCAUUGAUAUGCAUUGUAUUUCCCACUGAAAUUCGAUGAGUAAGUGGCCAUGAUUUCUUGAACAUCAAUUUAGGAGGCUGUGGAGGAGGCAAUGGUCUUCUAAUCUUAUAUCUAGCUUCGACAAGGCAGAUACACGUGAUCAAUAGCCAACACAUCCAAUUUGUCGUCUAAAAUUUUGUUAAUUGAUUUAUCUGUUAUGUUUCAAGUGAAGUUUGAAGAAAAAUUAAAUUAGAUCAAUUAUUAUAAUUAAAGUUUUACGGCAUAAAUUUCAUUAUUUAUUAAAACAUUACAAACGAAUUGUUUUUGUAUUCAACGCCAUUCGUAAUCUAUUAUGUUGAACUAUCGUAACAAUGACCGUGACAAUGGAUAUUCAUUGUGGCAUUAAGCAAUUAUAGUUUGAGAAACGCUGGCACUGGCAAUGAAACCGAAGAGAGAAGUGCUGUGAGUUGUUAGCAGGUAAAGUGGGACGGUGUGCUACAUCGAUGGUAGGAAAAGCGAGGGUAGUAAGAAGCCAGGUGAGGAGUGAGGUCGAAAAGAAAAUAGUCGAACCUGGAAAUAAUGAUCCAAACCGAUGGAUUGAGAGAUGAUGACCGCGGAUGCAACAAGUUGUAUCGUAACGAUUAUGAUUCGUUUUCGCUCGAAUUGCAUUUCCGCCGAAAAGGAAUUCGAUGACAGGAAAGUCGAUUUGCGAUUGUAUCAAAGGCCCUUUGCGAGUCGACAGAUGGACAGAACGAUCGAAGACCGGUCAAACGCCGUUUCUCUCCAUAUCCUGCUACUGGAUUCCCUCGUGAGGAUAUACCUGUGUGCGUGGAUACGCACGAACCAACAUGUGUGAUCCAGUGACCCACUAUAUUCAUCGGUAGCUACAAAAUUUCAAUCUAUGGAUAAAAUUGAAGAUAUAAAGAAAGAUUGGAAUAAAACAAAAUCAAUUUAAAACAAAAAAAACAAUAUCAGAUUCAUUUAUUAAUAUUCUAUUUAUACAAAAGUAUAUACAUUACGAUGACUAAUUAGAACUAUAUCGCGUUACAAAUAUUACGAUAUCUAUAAUUAUAAAUUCUGAAGAGCGUUAAAAAAGAGGAAGGAAGGUUAAACUAGUUACUCUCAUUGUUAUGGCCUCCUUCAUUGCAUAAAAGUUUCUCGAGCUUCAUUUGCAUUUGUACGCAUAAUGAAUUCGUUAUAUACUUUCAUACACAACAUUCAUCUUCUUCUUAAGAAUUAAUAAUCAAUAAGCAUCAUAUAAAAAGCUCUAAAAACAAACUAGACACAAAAAUUGUACCUUAAUGUUGCAAUCAUACACAAAAAAAAAAAAAAGAAAAAGAAAAAAACUUAUUAGCGAUUCAACAUAUAUCACAAGAUAAAAUCAACUAUAAUGAGUAUCCUCUACAUUGACUCAUGCUUGUAACUCAAAAUUCAACAUCAUUCAUCGUUUUUUAAUUUACACGUUGGACCGCUUUCUUUUUCCAGAAUAAUCCCAAGAAGAUUCGUCCAUGAAUGAUUUCCGUUGAAUCCAUCCAUGAAAUUUCUUAGUCUUCUUUUGUAACGAGGCGAAAGCCGCAACACGGAUGGAUACAUAUAUACGUAGUCUCAUACGGUGAACAAAUUCGUUUAUGGAUCUUCUUCUCUGUCCACUACUUUUUCUCUGAUACAAUCCAUGCAUGUUGAAAUUAGUGAAAGGUUGAAUCAAUCCCUGAUUUUGCCAAUAUGGAGUCAGUAGUGG